UCUCAAGCUGUGACCCUCUAGAGGGAUGCACGUUCUGUAUUCUAAAGAAAAGAACUCGCAGCCCUCUAGAGCGUUACCGUUUGAGA
rfam:Callithrix jacchus chromosome 22, whole genome shotgun sequence